CCUGGUGGCCAUAGCGUCGGUGUCCCACCCGAUCCCAUCCCGAACUCGGACGUGAAACCCGACCGCGCCAAUGGUACUAUCGCUCAAGCGAUGGAAGNGAAAUCCGUGCUGGCUCCAUUG
rnacentral:rRNA from 1 species